GAGAGUUGUGAUUGUAUGUUUGUUUGUACAGUUAUGGCUGUAAUGUUAUUAUUUUGUGUUCUCACUAAACACCCACAUUUGUAUUUGUGUGGGAAAUGUUUGUAGGCUAUGGUUGCUGUUUGUAUUUCAUUGAACUUUAGGCCCAUACAAAGACAAAUCACACAACAUAGAAUUCCAAAUAACUUUUGGCAAAAAUACACGAAAUAAAAGUCAAGUGAAAAUAGUUAUAAAUGUCUUCAUAAUUAUGAGUAGCUAAACAUUAUCGACUUUUGGACACUGGUGCGCAGGAGAACCCCUAGCUGUCAAUCAAGCAGGCGCGGUGAACGGAUUAUGACGCUCAAGCGUUCCAAAUGACGCAACAAUACAGCUCCAGACCAGAGAAAGUUAAUGCCGAGGAUAUUAUUCGGUUCAACACUAAAACUGAGGUUUGACACGUGUGAUUUGAGGCUAGAGCUUGAGGACUCAACUCUGAAGACUGUUUCUGAAUUCACUGACCUGGUGAGUAAAUGUUGUGUACAAUGGCACCAUCUAGUGACAGAAACAUAGAAACACACAUUGUUGCUGAACGAAGGCAUCUCUUUAUUUUCCAGAAAUAAAACGUGUAGACCUUUCCUGCAGUCUCUGAGGAGAUGGACACCUCUUCUUCUUCUGGACGAUCUCCGUCUCCUACUGGGACUGUCUUCUUACCCCCUCCUAUCAUGUGGAACAGUCUGUAAGUCAUUCAUCACAUAACCUAGCUCUGGUCCAGGGCAUUAUGUGCGGCUUGCUGAAGGAAGGCUCAGUGUCUGCAAGCUGUACGUAACGCCCUGGACCAGAGUGACACAUUACCCACCUCUGGCCAUCAUGGACAGUCAACUCAUCACAUUCACGUACUGUAAGUCACAGUUGUGUGAUUUGUGUUAUUAAAGUAUUAAUUGAUUAUUAUUAAAGUAUUAAAGUAUUAUUAAUUGAGCAGAAGUUAAAUUAUUAUUUUAAUAUUGUAGUAAAUUGUCUGAGUUCACUUCCUAAAUAAUGUGUUGACAUUCCUUUGCUCCCA
rnacentral:lncRNA from 13 species